GGUUAAGCGACUAAGCGUACACGGUGGAUGCCCUGGCAGUCAGAGGCGAUGAAGGACGUGCUAAUCUGCGAUAAGCGUCGGUGAGGUGAUAUGAACCGUUAUAACCGGCGAUUUCCGAAUGGGGAAACCCAGUGUGUUUCGACACACUAUCAUUAACUGAAUCCAUAGGUUAAUGAGGCGAACCGGGGGAACUGAAACAUCUAAGUACCCCGAGGAAAAGAAAUCAACCGAGAUUCCCCCAGUAGCGGCGAGCGAACGGGGAGGAGCCCAGAGCCUGAAUCAGUGUGUGUGUUAGUGGAAGCGUCUGGAAAGGCGUGCGAUACAGGGUGACAGCCCCGUACACAAAAAUGCACAUACUGUGAGCUCGAUGAGUAGGGCGGGACACGUGGUAUCCUGUCUGAAUAUGGGGGGACCAUCCUCCAAGGCUAAAUACUCCUGACUGACCGAUAGUGAACCAGUACCGUGAGGGAAAGGCGAAAAGAACCCCGGCGAGGGGAGUGAAAAAGAACCUGAAACCGUGUACGUACAAGCAGUGGGAGCCUCUUAAUGGGGUGACUGCGUACCUUUUGUAUAAUGGGUCAGCGACUUAUAUUCUGUAGCAAGGUUAACCGAAUAGGGGAGCCGAAGGGAAACCGAGUCUUAACUGGGCGUUAAGUUGCAGGGUAUAGACCCGAAACCCGGUGAUCUAGCCAUGGGCAGGUUGAAGGUUGGGUAACACUAACUGGAGGACCGAACCGACUAAUGUUGAAAAAUUAGCGGAUGACUUGUGGCUGGGGGUGAAAGGCCAAUCAAACCGGGAGAUAGCUGGUUCUCCCCGAAAGCUAUUUAGGUAGCGCCUCGUGAAUUCAUCUCCGGGGGUAGAGCACUGUUUCGGCAAGGGGGUCAUCCCGACUUACCAACCCGAUGCAAACUGCGAAUACCGGAGAAUGUUAUCACGGGAGACACACGGCGGGUGCUAACGUCCGUCGUGAAGAGGGAAACAACCCAGACCGCCAGCUAAGGUCCCAAAGUCAUGGUUAAGUGGGAAACGAUGUGGGAAGGCCCAGACAGCCAGGAUGUUGGCUUAGAAGCAGCCAUCAUUUAAAGAAAGCGUAAUAGCUCACUGGUCGAGUCGGCCUGCGCGGAAGAUGUAACGGGGCUAAACCAUGCACCGAAGCUGCGGCAGCGACACUAUGUGUUGUUGGGUAGGGGAGCGUUCUGUAAGCCUGUGAAGGUGGCCUGUGAGGGUUGCUGGAGGUAUCAGAAGUGCGAAUGCUGACAUAAGUAACGAUAAAGCGGGUGAAAAGCCCGCUCGCCGGAAGACCAAGGGUUCCUGUCCAACGUUAAUCGGGGCAGGGUGAGUCGACCCCUAAGGCGAGGCCGAAAGGCGUAGUCGAUGGGAAACAGGUUAAUAUUCCUGUACUUGGUGUUACUGCGAAGGGGGGACGGAGAAGGCUAUGUUGGCCGGGCGACGGUUGUCCCGGUUUAAGCGUGUAGGCUGGUUUUCCAGGCAAAUCCGGAAAACCAAGGCUGAGGCGUGAUGACGAGGCACUACGGUGCUGAAGCGACAAAUGCCCUGCUUCCAGGAAAAGCCUCUAAGCAUCAGGUAACAUCAAAUCGUACCCCAAACCGACACAGGUGGUCAGGUAGAGAAUACCAAGGCGCUUGAGAGAACUCGGGUGAAGGAACUAGGCAAAAUGGUGCCGUAACUUCGGGAGAAGGCACGCUGAUAUGUAGGUGAAGCGACUUGCUCGUGGAGCUGAAAUCAGUCGAAGAUACCAGCUGGCUGCAACUGUUUAUUAAAAACACAGCACUGUGCAAACACGAAAGUGGACGUAUACGGUGUGACGCCUGCCCGGUGCCGGAAGGUUAAUUGAUGGGGUUAGCGGUAACGCGAAGCUCUUGAUCGAAGCCCCGGUAAACGGCGGCCGUAACUAUAACGGUCCUAAGGUAGCGAAAUUCCUUGUCGGGUAAGUUCCGACCUGCACGAAUGGCGUAAUGAUGGCCAGGCUGUCUCCACCCGAGACUCAGUGAAAUUGAACUCGCUGUGAAGAUGCAGUGUACCCGCGGCAAGACGGAAAGACCCCGUGAACCUUUACUAUAGCUUGACACUGAACAUUGAGCCUUGAUGUGUAGGAUAGGUGGGAGGCUUUGAAGUGUGGACGCCAGUCUGCAUGGAGCCGACCUUGAAAUACCACCCUUUAAUGUUUGAUGUUCUAACGUUGGCCCCUAAUCGGGGUUGCGGACAGUGUCUGGUGGGUAGUUUGACUGGGGCGGUCUCCUCCUAAAGAGUAACGGAGGAGCACGAAGGUUGGCUAAUCCUGGUCGGACAUCAGGAGGUUAGUGCAAUGGCAUAAGCCAGCUUGACUGCGAGCGUGACGGCGCGAGCAGGUGCGAAAGCAGGUCAUAGUGAUCCGGUGGUUCUGAAUGGAAGGGCCAUCGCUCAACGGAUAAAAGGUACUCCGGGGAUAACAGGCUGAUACCGCCCAAGAGUUCAUAUCGACGGCGGUGUUUGGCACCUCGAUGUCGGCUCAUCACAUCCUGGGGCUGAAGUAGGUCCCAAGGGUAUGGCUGUUCGCCAUUUAAAGUGGUACGCGAGCUGGGUUUAGAACGUCGUGAGACAGUUCGGUCCCUAUCUGCCGUGGGCGCUGGAGAACUGAGGGGGGCUGCUCCUAGUACGAGAGGACCGGAGUGGACGCAUCACUGGUGUUCGGGUUGUCAUGCCAAUGGCACUGCCCGGUAGCUAAAUGCGGAAGAGAUAAGUGCUGAAAGCAUCUAAGCACGAAACUUGCCCCGAGAUGAGUUCUCCCUGAGACUUAGAGUCUCCUGAAGGAACGUUGAAGACGACGACGUUGAUAGGCCGGGUGUGUAAGCGCAGCGAUGCGUUGAGCUAACCGGUACUAAUGAACCGUGAGGCUUAACCUU
rnacentral:rRNA from 1 species